UUGAACGCUGGCGGCAGGCCUAACACAUGCAAGUCGAGCGGUAGCACAGAGAGCUUGCUCUCGGGUGACGAGCGGCGGACGGGUGAGUAAUGUCUGGGAAACUGCCUGAUGGAGGGGGAUAACUACUGGAAACGGUAGCUAAUACCGCAUAACGUCGCAAGACCAAAGUGGGGGACCUUCGGGCCUCAUGCCAUCAGAUGUGCCCAGAUGGGAUUAGCUAGUAGGUGGGGUAACGGCUCACCUAGGCGACGAUCCCUAGCUGGUCUGAGAGGAUGACCAGCCACACUGGAACUGAGACACGGUCCAGACUCCUACGGGAGGCAGCAGUGGGGAAUAUUGCACAAUGGGCGCAAGCCUGAUGCAGCCAUGCCGCGUGUGUGAAGAAGGCCUUCGGGUUGUAAAGCACUUUCAGCGGGGAGGAAGGCGAUAAGGUUAAUAACCUUGUCGAUUGACGUUACCCGCAGAAGAAGCACCGGCUAACUCCGUGCCAGCAGCCGCGGUAAUACGGAGGGUGCAAGCGUUAAUCGGAAUUACUGGGCGUAAAGCGCACGCAGGCGGUCUGUCAAGUCGGAUGUGAAAUCCCCGGGCUCAACCUGGGAACUGCAUUCGAAACUGGCAGGCUAGAGUCUUGUAGAGGGGGGUAGAAUUCCAGGUGUAGCGGUGAAAUGCGUAGAGAUCUGGAGGAAUACCGGUGGCGAAGGCGGCCCCCUGGACAAAGACUGACGCUCAGGUGCGAAAGCGUGGGGAGCAAACAGGAUUAGAUACCCUGGUAGUCCACGCCGUAAACGAUGUCGAUUUGGAGGUUGUGCCCUUGAGGCGUGGCUUCCGGAGCUAACGCGUUAAAUCGACCGCCUGGGGAGUACGGCCGCAAGGUUAAAACUCAAAUGAAUUGACGGGGGCCCGCACAAGCGGUGGAGCAUGUGGUUUAAUUCGAUGCAACGCGAAGAACCUUACCUGGUCUUGACAUCCACAGAACUUUCCAGAGAUGGAUUGGUGCCUUCGGGAACUGUGAGACAGGUGCUGCAUGGCUGUCGUCAGCUCGUGUUGUGAAAUGUUGGGUUAAGUCCCGCAACGAGCGCAACCCUUAUCCUUUGUUGCCAGCGGUUCGGCCGGGAACUCAAAGGAGACUGCCAGUGAUAAACUGGAGGAAGGUGGGGAUGACGUCAAGUCAUCAUGGCCCUUACGACCAGGGCUACACACGUGCUACAAUGGCAUAUACAAAGAGAAGCGACCUCGCGAGAGCAAGCGGACCUCAUAAAGUAUGUCGUAGUCCGGAUUGGAGUCUGCAACUCGACUCCAUGAAGUCGGAAUCGCUAGUAAUCGUAGAUCAGAAUGCUACGGUGAGUACGUUCCCGGGCCUUGUACACACCGCCCGUCACACCAUGGGAGUGGGUUGCAAAAGAAGUAGGUAGCUUAACCUUCGGGAGGGCGCUUACCACUUUGUGAUUCAUGACUGGGGUG
rnacentral:rRNA from 1 species